UUUUGUGCCUAGAACUGAUGUUUGACGGUAUUGAAUUUCAAAGAAAAAUAUAUGGAAAAUAAUAUGAUUGAGUGGUGGUUUGGCUGGUGUGAAACCAAACCCAUUUAUUACCAUUUUCCAUAAAACGAAAACCCUUCAAACCUACGCCGAUGUGCAUCGGUUCGACCCCAAAAUAGCUCGUACCAUCCUUGUAUGGCUUGGCCGUUGGGGCGACGCAGUCGCAGGCGUCGCCCAAAAUAAGACAUGGAACUCUGGAUAGUGGGAGGCGCCGCGACGCGUACCGACUCCGCGAUUUCACAAAGGCGGCAAGCCGGACGCUCUCCUAAAAUAGUACCCGAAACCAAAAAUGCAUGCCUCGCCCUGAAUCCAAUCUUCUUCCAAUACCCAUGUAUCACUUUUUGCAAGUUUCUUUGGCACAGGAUUGUCGCUGGUAUUCUGGCACGAGGCUUAAAAAUCCAUAAUUUUUCUUCAAUGAUCCAUUGUUGGGUGGAUUUGGUUACUAACUCCUAAUUUGCGUUGUUUUAAUCAGUCCGUUGUGAGAAUAGCUCGUGAUUACUGCAUGAUCAGAAAAAAAUGACAUUUUACAAGAGAGUCCAAAAAGGAAAAAACUCGACUUUUUGGAGAAAUUGGAAUUGAAGGAUUUGGUCCUAUUUAAUUUUCUACAACCCAGACGUUUUUUCCUCAAUUUCAAAAUAUAAAAACCGCUAAAUCAGAUUGAUUCCAUUAAGUGCAAUUUAUUUAUUUUAUUCUAUUUAGUCAAUAUUGGUUCGUAUCAGGUCAAUGUGGCGAAAACAUCACGUAAGUUGUGUUCUACUUUUUAACAUAACAUGCGUGUAAUUAGUGCUAUUGUUUUGUAUAAAUAUCUAACGCUUAUCGUAAUUUGUUUGUAAUCACACCCUUGAGAGUUUAACUUUCAGUUUUAUUCCAUAUUUAUACGAUAUUUUAACCGAAGUCUCUUUGCGCUAUUUCUACGAAUUAAUCAUAAAAUCAUAGAAAAAUGAUUCAGCUUUUUGGGCAUAUUUUGCAUAGAUUUUGCAAAUAUUUGAUAUACAAAGUGUCGUGAAAUCUCCACACUGAACCAUCUUUUCCAUAUAAUAGAUGUUAGUUCUAACAAGUGUCAUAAACCUGAAAACAAGCCAUUGUCAAAAACUCUUGAAACCAGUAGGGGGAUGUCCACAAAAGCGAGCCUUCUUAUAAGGGAAUUUUGGGGGACUUUCGCAUGCUUUUGCGCUAAAACAUCCUUGUUUUUAAACAUAAAACUGCAACCUGAAACUUCUUGAUCUCUUUUUAUGGGGACAUCUUCAAACUAAGUUUUAAGAAGGUUAUUUAAAAAUCGAAGAACAUAACCACCCAGAGGACAGGACAAGAGGACAUAAAUAAGAUAACACCGGAAAUGCUGAAUCAUGAAAAGAACGAAAUAAACCACUGACUGGGAUGAUGCUAGCAAGUGAGUGAAUUGUACAGAUUUUAAGCAAUUGUUACGUUGAAAAUAAAUUAAACUAUG